rnacentral:rRNA from 1 species
GUGGGGAAUCUUCCGCAAUGGACGAAAGUCUGACGGAGCAACGCCGCGUGUACGACGAAGGCCUUCGGGUUGUAAAGUACUGUCUUCAGGGACGAACGGUAAGUAUGUAAAUAAUGUACUUACAUGACGGUACCUGAGGAGGAAGCCCCGGCUAACUACGUGCCAGCAGCCGCGGUAAUACGUAGGGGGCAAGCGUUGUCCGGAAUCAUUGGGCGUAAAGGGCGCGUAGGCGGAUACUUAAGUCUGGUGUGAAAACCUAGGGCUCAACCCUGGGACUGCAUCGGAAACUGGGUAUCUUGAGGACAGGAGAGGAAAGUGGAAUUCCACGUGUAGCGGUGAAAUGCGUAGAUAUGUGGAGGAACACCAGUGGCGAAGGCGACUUUCUGGACUGUAACUGACGCUGAGGCGCGAAAGCGUGGGGAGCAAACAGG